GACGAACGCUGGCGGCGUGCUUAACACAUGCAAGUCGAACGGAAAGGCCCUGCUUUUGUGGGGUGCUCGAGUGGCGAACGGGUGAGUAACACGUGAGUAACCUGCCCUUGACUUUGGGAUAACUUCAGGAAACUGGGGCUAAUACCGGAUAGGAGCUCCUGCUGCAUGGUGGGGGUUGGAAAGUUUCGGCGGUUGGGGAUGGACUCGCGGCUUAUCAGCUUGUUGGUGGGGUAGUGGCUUACCAAGGCUUUGACGGGUAGCCGGCCUGAGAGGGUGACCGGCGACAUUGGGACUGAGAUACGGCCCAGACUCCUACGGGAGGCAGCAGUGGGGAAUAUUGCACAAUGGGCGGAAGCCUGAUGCAGCAGCGCCGCGUGCGGGAUGACGGCCUUCGGGUUGUAAACCGCUUUCGCCUGUGACGAAGCGUGAGUGACGGUAAUGGGUAAAGAAGCACCGGCUAACUACGUG
rnacentral:rRNA from 1 species